AAUGCUAUGAUCCUUUAGGCAAGCACAAAGUUGGCAUGCUGCCUAGUUGGGCGGUGUAGGCGCUUGUGCCCUUCACCUUGCAUGGGAAUAAGGGGAGGGGGGAUGCCCCUCGGCCCCUCCCAUUCUCAAAAAGUGUGAUAAUGAGAAAUCGAAAAAUGUUAGAGUAGAAUAUAGUGUUGUGUUGACUGUAUCGACUAACCAAGAGGAAGUAUGGUCGCCAUCCAGAGGUGGGGGAGAAGUCGAUGUUGGAAAGGAGCCAAGUGUUGUAACCAGUCGCCGUGUGCAGCAUGUGCUAAAAGGAGUUGUUGCAGUCCAGAAGACGUGAUUGGUGUGUGAUAAUCCAGAGGGACAUUAACGCUCGACUGAAUGUUGGAAAUGAGAGGCAGUAAAGGUGUUUGAGGAUGGAGUGGUGGUGGGUAGUGCCGUAACCAGGUUGGAGAAAGGGUGGACUACUACAUGUAUGGGGCUGUGCAAUGGACUGUGUUGAGGAGAAGAAGCAGCAGCAGCAGGGGCGGCGGCGGUAGCAGCAGUGGCGGCAGUUGUUUAAGAUAAGUAGUGUGGUGUGGUGCAUCGUGAAUUGUUUGUGAUAG
rnacentral:lncRNA from 1 species